AGCUUCUUAGCGCAGUAGGUAGCGCGUUGGGCUCAUAUCUCAUCAUGAGACAAAAAAUCCUUUCCGCCGUAAGGCGUUCCAACCCAAAGGUCGUCGGAUCGAAACCGACAGAAGCUA